CUUCCGUAGGGGUAACCUGCGGAGGGAUCAUUAUUAGAAGCCGAAAGGCUACUUAAAACCAUCGCGAACUCGUCCAAGUUGCUUCGGCGGCGCGGCCUCCCUCACGGGGGCGCCGCAGCCCCGCCUCUCCGGAGGUGUGGGGCGCCCGCCGGAGGUACGAAACUCUGUAUUAUAGUGGCAUCUCUGAGUAAAAAACAAAUAAGUUAAAACUUUCAACAACGGAUCUCUUGGUUCUGGCAUCGAUGAAGAACGCAGCGAAAUGCGAUAAGUAAUGUGAAUUGCAGAAUUCAGUGAAUCAUCGAAUCUUUGAACGCACAUUGCGCCCGCUAGUACUCUAGCGGGCAUGCCUGUUCGAGCGUCAUUUCAACCCUCAAGCCCUGCUUGGUGUUGGGGCCCUACGGCUGCCGUAGGCCCUGAAAGGAAGUGGCGGGCUCGCUACAACUCCGAGCGUAGUAAUUCAUUAUCUCGCUAGGGACGUUGCGGCGCGCUCCUGCCGUUAAAGACCAUCUUUAACUCAAGGUUGACCUCGGAUCAGGUAGGAAUACCCGCUGAACUUAAGCAUAUCAAAAGGCCCGGAGGAAA
rnacentral:rRNA from 1 species